UACGUAGGGGGCUGGCGUUGUCCGGAAUCAUUGGGCGUAAAGGGCGCGUAGGCGGCCAGAUAGGUCGGGUGUGAAAGUCACAGGCUCAACCUGUGAAUGCCGCUGGAAACUGUCUGGCUAGAGUCCGGAAGGGGCGAGUGGAAUUCCUGGUGUAGCGGUGAAAUGCGUAGAGAUCAGGAAGAACACCGGUGGCGAAGGCGCUCUGCUAGGCCGCAACUGACACUGAGGGACGAAAGCUAGGGGAGCGAAUGGG
rnacentral:rRNA from 1 species